ensembl:lncRNA
GUGAUAAAUGCGAUCAGAAACUUGUGUUGGGGAGGAUUCAGUGUCUGUUGAGAACCAUGUGAAUGUGCUACAAAGUGAGUAUCAGACAACACCUCCAGACACCUGGACUGUCAAAGACCACACGGCACAAACAUUCUCCUGGAGACGCUGAGAAAGCACAGAAGGAAUGUCUGUGGAGGAUGUACUCAAAAAACACCCAUACUUAAGAACACCUGCUGGAGGGGACCCUUCUACACUCUUUCCUAUCAUACAGCUGAUGGAUACUGACUGUAAAAUGUCAAUCAUAGGAGGAGGGUUCAGUGUGGUGACAGAAGAUGGAAUAGACGUGUGCCAGUGCACCAGCCUUGGUGAAGCCUUCAUAACAGCCUUCUGGAUGUAUUCUGCUUUCAACAUUGCAUAUCCACCACACCUGAGAAAAACACUGACUUUCCUUCAGAGGCACAUUCUCAACAUUAGAAGAUGGAGACAAGCACUGCCAGUAACUUUCCUCUGAGUGAUCAGCCUUUUGUAUUAGAUCCUCAUGCCUCAACUGUACCAUUGCCCAAAGUGCACUUGGAGGACAUUCACUCUUUUGAAGUUAAUCCAACAUGUUGAACCAAAAAUUAGUAUAACCUAUGGUAUAGAUGAGUGCCAGUCACCUUUUUUGUGAUUCCAUUCUUUUAGAAAACAUGCACAGGAAUCAUAUGUACUUUUGGUAACAAAAAUGACUGUCUCAGUGAAGAGUCUGCAGUACAAUUAUAUUAUAAUAUAAUGAAGAAGGGUCAGGCUGCAGACUUGCACUUGCACUCUCAGAUACUUGCGCUUCUGCUAGUGACAACACUUGCAGUCUUUUUUAUUUUAUAUUUAGUUCUAGUUAUUGGUUACUUUUUGUUUGAAUCUCUCAACAUUUGUUUUUUUCUUGUGUAGGUAUGGUUGACUGGAAGUCUGUCAGUCCAGAUGUGAGGAAGACCUACAGAGUGAGUUUGAGCUCAGCAGGAUGCAUCUACAGAAACACCACUGGAUACUGUAGCCAUGGAAAGAAGGGGGUCUUCACAGCUUUCUAUUCAGACAAAGAGUUUGCUGGAUUCUGUUCUAUGGGCUGCUACUACAGAAUGAAUGAAUGAGUGGUUUAUCUAUCUAUCUAUCUAUCUAUCUAUCUAUCUAUCUAUCUAUAUAUUUUUUUACUUAAAUUGGCGACUGAAACUGAAAGCUAAAUAAAUGUUUUAGUGGAUAAAGCUCUGUGUGUAUGUCACUUAACAUAAGGUUACUAAACUCUUCUGACUAAUUUUUAAAUUUUAUAAUUUAGUGGUUUUGUCAACUAUAUAUUUUUCUCUAUCAGGCAAAACAUAUUUUUCGAGGGUAACACUUUACAAUAAGGUUUCAUUUGUUGACACUGAUGUAUAAACUAACAUUAACUAUGAGCAAUACAUUUGAUACAGUGUUUAUUAAACUUUGUUAGUUAAUAAAAAUACAGCUGUUCGAUGUUUGUUCUUGUUAGUUCACUUCACAGUGUAUUAGCUAAUGUUAACAAAUACAACUUUUGACUUUAACUUAAGAACAGCUAGUGCGACUAACCGUGUUAAGAGACGUUUGUAUCCUCGAAAAAUAAUUGUAAUUUGUUUUUGAUUAUUGAUAAAUCAAGACCUAAACUUGCGGUGGUGAUGACGUCAGUAACCCGCGGCAUACAGAAGAUUUAAAGGUACUUUCAAAAGUAAUUUAAAAUAAUAUUCUUAAUAUCAUUAACGCCGUUUUUACCUUGGAAGAAUUAAAUUUGGUUUUAUAGGAUUAUGUUGAAUUUAUGGAUCCUUUUAAUCUGCAACUAAGAGUAUAUGGCUCGCCAUCUUUAUUUAUUUAUUUAUUUUUUAACAGCCAUCUUUCGCAUUACCUUUUGGCACGCCCCCUACCUUUCGUUUCACCAAUGAGAAACCUUUUGUCAUGCCCCCCACCUUUCGGCAAGCCCCACCUUUUGGCACGCCAAUUGCUCCAGGCUGCAGUUACCCUACUUGAAAACAAGUGCAAAUGAUAAGCUUUCGAGGCGAUGCGCAGCCCGUCAACUUUCCUGAGCGUCUUUUAAGGCUGGCCUCAGCCAGUUGGUUGAGAUCGCUGGGGGGCCCCCCUCAGCCGUGGGCCCCUAAAAUCGUCACCACCUUUCUCCCCACUAGCGACAGCCCUGUACAUUAUCAAAAGCUUAUUUGUUAAAGAAUAAGGUUACACUUCAUUUUGAUAGUCCACUUUAGACAUUCUACUAACUAUAAGUAACUUUGUCAACUAAUUCUCAUUCAUUUGCAACUACAUGUCUUCUAACUCUCAGAGUAGACUGUUAGGUUUGGUUAGGGUCAGUAGAAUAAGUUGACAUAUACUUGCAAAGUUUCUCAUAGUCAGUAUGUUGUAUGUUAUGGACCUUAUAAAAAUAAAGUGUUAGAUGAUAUUAAGCAGACAAUCUACUUAUACUCUAAUGACUGCUAGUUGACAUGUAGUUGUUGCAGAGUUACUUACUAACAGUAGAAUGUCUAAAGUGGACAAUCAAAAUAAAAUGUUACCAAAAAUAAUGUAAUUAAACAUUUUUAUUUAACAGUUGUUUAGAAUUUUUAAUGAGUUAAAAAAUGCAUUUAUUAUAAUAUAAACUGAGUACAUAUCAGCCACUCGCCCUUUAACACAUUACUGUCACAGACACAGGCACAUGACCAAAAUUAAUAAAGGAAAGAAACUUUCUGGGCCGCAGAACAGAAAAAACAUUAAAAUGAAUACAGCAAUCUCCAAAUGAACGAACAGAGAUUCUUAAGCUUACCUUAUUCAUUCAUUCAUUCAUUCAUUCAUUCAUUCAUUUAUUGUGAAUCAUUCAACAUUUAACUUGUUAACAUUAAUCAUUUGCCCUAUUAUAAGGCAACAGUUCAUUUCUGAGCAUAUCUCGCUCAAAAAAAAAAAAAGAAAAAAAAAAAAGUCACGUAUGUUUGUGAAUGGGCAUUUGAUUUACAUUUGAGAGGAACUGAGAAGUUCCUCUCAACAAGGACACAAACUAGU